GCGGCGGCGUUGCGGGCGUUAUCAGCCGGUGCUGGACUAUGGUGCGGCUCGGCGGGGGCUGAGGCGCCGGCAGCCCGUUCUCUCCCGCCCUGUGGGCUGACAGGCGGCGAGCCCUCAGCCGCACGUGUGGGAUGUGAGAGCUGCCCUCGGCCGGGGGAGCAUGAGCUGUGCCCAGGCCGGCAUUGUCCAGAAUCUGUACCAAAACAGGUUCCUGGGCCUGGCAGCCAUGGCAUCUCCAUCUAGGAACUCACAAAAUCGGCGCCGGUGCAAAGAGCCUCUCAGAUACAGCUAUAACCCUGACCAGUUCCAUAACAUGGACAUCAGGAACAAUUCCCACGAGACGGUCACCAUUCCUAGGUCUACCAGUGACACGGACCUUGUCACUUCAGACAGCCGGUCUACCCUGAUGGUCAGCAGCUCCUACUACUCCAUCGGGCAUUCGCAGGACCUAGUGAUAUACUGGGAUAUAAAGGAGGAAGUGGAUGCAGGGGACUGGAUCGGCAUGUAUCUCAUAGAUGAGGUCUUGUCCGAAAACUUUUUGGACUACAAGAACCGUGGCGUCAAUGGCUCUCACCGUGGUCAGAUUAUCUGGAAGAUUGAUGCCAGCUCUUACUUUGUGGAGCCUGAAACAAAGAUCUGCUUCAAAUACUACCAUGGCGUGAGUGGGGCACUACGAGCCACAACUCCGAGUGUCACAGUGAAAAACAAUGCAGCUCCCAUUUUUAAGAGCAUCACCAAUGAAGAUUCAAUCCAGGGACAAGGAAGUCGGAGACUGAUAAGUUUUUCAUUGUCAGAUUUCCAGGCUUUUGGUCUGAAGAAAGGAAUGUUCUUCAAUCCAGACCCUUAUCUGAAGAUUUCCAUCCAGCCUGGAAAACACAGCAUCUUCCCAGCACUUCCCCAUCAUGGACAGGAGAAGAGAUCUAAGAUCAUGUGUAACACUGUUAACCCAAUCUGGCAAGGAGAGCAAUUCAGCUUUGUCUCCCUGCCCACGGAUGUCCUGGAAAUUGAAGUUAAAGACAAAUUUGCAAAGAGCCGACCGAUCAUCAAGCGUUUCCUGGGAAAACUCUCUAUGCCAGUUCAACGCCUCUUGGAACGACAUGCCAUAGGGGACAGGGUUGUAAGCUACACUCUGGGUCGCAGGCUUCCUACAGAUCAUGUCAGUGGCCAGCUGCAGUUCCGAUUUGAGAUAACUUCUUCCAUCCAUCCAGAUGAUGAAGAGGUCUCCAUUAGUGCAGAUCCUGAGCCAGCUGACCUCCAGGAAAGCCCUGUGAACAACCCCACAGAGGAAAGCCUCGGUGAGCCUCCAUGCAUCAGCACGGUGACCUCAGAAAGUACAGCUCCAGAACAGCUAAAUGGAUACAGUGUGAACAGUGUGGAUAGCCCAGGGGCUGUCAAACCACCUGGGGAAGUCAACCAGAACAGCUUAAAUGAAGAGCUAGCAGGAGAUGGGGAGGUUGACGCGGUGCCAGUUCCUGAGCCUUUGGAACCCAUCCCAGGAGAAGUGCUGCCUUCUUUGAGUGCCACGGACCUCACGGAGCAGCUGGCUCUGCUAGCUUGCACGUCUCCUCCUGAGACUGAAGUUAGGGAAAAUAACAAAGUCAAUUCUGGUACUCAGGGAGAUGGUGGAGUCUUGACCAGCAUAGAAACGUUAGAUAUUGAUGAGGUGAGUGCAGAUGUGCAUGCUGGCAAGGACCUAGAGAAGAGUCAGGAAGAAGAAGGGGCUUCAGCCCAGGAGGAGGAAGACAACAAGCUACAACUGAGGACCACAGCAAAGAGGAAAAACAGGCCGUGCUCCCUGCCUGUGUCUGAACUGGAGACAGUCAUAGCUUCGGCUUGCGGUGAGCCGGAGACCCCUCGCACGCACUACAUACGGAUCCACAACCUGCUCCACAGCCUGCCCUCGGCACAGAUGAGCAGCGAUGGGGAAGAAGAGCAAGAUGGUGGCAACGGUGGGGAGAACGACGAGGAGUCUACAGUCAAGGAGGCGUUGGAGAAGGAGGUGGUCAGUGAGAGCGAGACAGUGGCGGCAGAGCCUCCGCUGGAAAACGAGGCCGAAGAGAACUUCAGCCAGAGCAUGGUGCCUCCUGGGACCUCAGAUGAGCAACUCUCUGACUUAAAUGACGGGCUGUUGGAUGGGGAACACCCCAGGACAGGAAGCGAGAGCGAGUCGAGCUCCAGGCCCAAUGGUGACAACGAAUGUGAGGCGUGCGACACUUCUUGCUACAGCCCCUCUUGCUACAGCACCUCCUGCUACAGCACCUCCUGCUACAGCACUUCUUGCUACAGCACCUCCUGUUAUGACAGUAACAAUCGCUUCUCCAGCCAUACCCGCUUCUCCUCCGUCGACAGCGCAAAGAUUUCCGAGAGCACUGUCUUCUCCUCACAGGAUGAGGAGGAGGAGGAGAACAGUGCUUUCGAGUCAGUGCCAGAUUCAGUGCAGAGCCCUGAGCUGGACAGGGAGCAAGUGGAUGGCUCCUCCCAGUGGCCAGAUGAACUGGUAGCUCAUGGUGUGAACCCACAGAGAGCCACAGAGAGUCUAGACACCCCAAUAGCAGGUCCAAGCAGCAGAAGAGAAGGUGAUUGUCCCUUACUCCAUAAUUCUCAGCCAGUCAGCCAGCUUCCUUCUCUGAGGCCUGACCAUCAUCACUACCCAACUAUCGAUGAGCCUCUUCCACCAAAUUGGGAAGCCCGGAUAGACAGCCACGGGAGGGUAUUCUACGUUGAUCACGUCAACCGAACCACCACGUGGCAGCGCCCCACAGCCGCGGCAACGCCCGAUGGGAUCCACAGGUCUGGCUCCGUCCAGCAAAUGGAGCAGCUGAACCGGCGGUACCAAAAUAUCCAGCGAACUAUUGCAACGGAGCGGACUGAAGACGAUGCUGUAGUGAACAGGGUGGAGAGAGUUCCCACUGGAGGAGGAAGCGACUCUGAGGCAGAGCCUUCCCAGCCAAGCUCAGAGAUUAGGAGAGAAGGUUCUCUUUCUCCUGUGAAUUCUCAAAAAAUCACCUUGUUGCUGCAGUCUCCAGCUGUGAAGUUCAUCACCAAUCCGGAGUUCUUCACUGUGCUGCAUGCAAACUAUAGUGCCUAUCGAGUCUUCACUAACAGUACCUGCUUGAAGCAUAUGAUUCUGAAGAUCCGUCGAGAUGCUCGUAAUUUUGAGCGCUAUCAGCACAACAGAGACCUGGUAAAUUUUAUCAACAUGUUUGCUGAUACCCGACUGGAGCUUCCUCGUGGCUGGGAGAUAAAAACUGACCAGCAGGGCAAGUCUUUCUUCGUUGACCACAAUAGCCGUGCCACCACUUUCAUAGAUCCCAGGAUCCCGCUGCAGAACGGUCGUCUCCCUAACCACCUGACUCACAGGCAACAUCUUCAGCGGCUUCGUAGCUACAGCGCUGGAGAGGCCUCCGAAGUCUCUCGAAACAGAGGAGUUACUCUGUUAGCCAGACCAGGCAAUAGUCUCGUAACAGCUAUUCGAAACCAGCACCAUCACGAGACAUUACCUCUGGCUUACAAUGACAAGAUUGUUGCAUUUCUACGCCAACCCAACAUUUUUGAGAUGCUGCAGGAGCGUCAGCCCAGCUUGGCCAGAAACCAUGCACUCAGGGAGAAGAUCCAUUACAUUCGGACAGAGGGUACACAUGGGCUUGAAAAGUUGUCCUGUGAUGCAGAUUUAGUAAUUCUGCUGAGCCUUUUUGAAGAGGAUAUUAUGUCCUACAUACCACUGCAGGCCGCCUUCCAUCCUGGUUACAGUUUCUCUCCUCGCUGCUCACCCUGUUCAUCACCCCAAAAUUCUCCAGGACUGCAGCGAGCAAGUGCAAGAGCACCUUCUCCAUACAGGAGGGACUUUGAAGCCAAGCUGCGCAAUUUCUAUCGAAAACUUGAAGCCAAAGGGUAUGGGCAAGGCCCAGGUAAAAUUAAGUUAAUUAUACGACGUGACCACUUGCUGGAAGGCACCUUCAACCAGGUAAUGGCAUAUUCACGCAAGGAGCUCCAGCGGAACAAACUCUACGUCACGUUUGUUGGCGAGGAAGGGUUGGACUACAGUGGCCCCUCCCGAGAAUUCUUCUUCCUUCUGUCUCAGGAGCUCUUCAAUCCCUAUUACGGGCUGUUUGAAUAUUCAGCCAACGACACUUACACUGUACAGAUCAGCCCCAUGUCUGCCUUUGUUGAAAAUCACCUGGAAUGGUUCAGGUUCAGCGGUCGUAUUCUUGGCCUUGCUCUCAUUCAUCAGUACCUUCUUGAUGCUUUCUUCACAAGGCCGUUCUACAAAGCACUACUAAGGCUGCCAUGUGAUUUAAGUGACUUGGAGUACCUGGAUGAAGAGUUCCAUCAGAGUUUGCAGUGGAUGAAGGAUAAUAACAUCACAGAUAUCCUGGAUCUCACCUUCACGGUGAACGAGGAGGUGUUUGGACAGGUGACAGAGAGAGAGUUGAAAUCUGGAGGGGCGAAUACAGCAGUGACAGAAAAGAAUAAAAAAGAGUACAUCGAGAGAAUGGUUAAGUGGCGAGUGGAACGAGGAGUGGUUCAGCAAACAGAGGCCCUGGUCCGUGGCUUCUACGAAGUUGUAGACUCCAGGCUUGUCUCUGUUUUUGAUGCCAGAGAACUGGAGCUGGUUAUAGCUGGCACUGCAGAAAUAGAUCUCAAUGACUGGCGUAACAACACAGAAUAUCGUGGAGGUUACCAUGAUGGGCACAUAGUAAUACGGUGGUUCUGGGCGGCAGUGGAGAGAUUUAACAAUGAGCAGAGACUCCGGUUGUUGCAAUUUGUCACUGGAACAUCAAGCGUGCCCUACGAGGGCUUUGCAGCUCUUCGAGGCAGCAAUGGGCUCCGGCGCUUCUGUAUAGAGAAAUGGGGGAAAAUAACCUCCCUUCCAAGGGCACACACAUGUUUCAACCGUUUGGAUCUUCCACCCUACCCCUCAUAUUCUAUGCUGUAUGAAAAGCUGCUGACAGCUGUUGAAGAAACUAGCACCUUUGGACUUGAAUGAGGGCGUUCAGGCACUUCUGGUAUUUUUCUGGCUGAUGAUGUCACCUUUCCUGUCCACCAUCAUUUGAUCUUGGUUUCCCAUGUCUUUAUUUUUGAAAACAGAACAAACAAAAAACCCCAUCAAGAUUAACAAAAGCUGUGCAUGAAGAACUGCCGCCCUCUAAGAUCUAACCUUCAUGCUUUCAUCCUCUGUUUCCAAUGGACUGCUAGUCUGUAUGCAAUAGAAAAACAACUGUCUCAAGGUUUCUGUAUAUCUCUACAUACCUCCAUUAAUAACAAUGAAAAUACAAAUGCAAGUUACACUACACUUGACCAAAUGUUAAUAAAUGUUUACUUCCACCUACGUUGAUUAAAAAAUAAAAAAAACUCAUCGAGCAUUCCAAGCUUUUAUAUGCCCACAUCUUCUAAAUCAAUUCACAGCCCAUCUUACUUCUUAACUGUUGAAUCCAGUACUAGGAGCUGUUCAAAUAUAUCUUCAUCCAUCCUUGUUUUCCCUGUAUGUAUUGUCCACCUGAGAGACACCUAUGAGCAAAACUGAAAUUUUUAUAUAUAUGAACUCAUGAUCCACGUCAGUUGCAUCAGCUGGAACUGGCCCAGAUUCACGGUGCAGAUAAGACCGUCAAAAACUAAAAAACCAACCUGUAACGCAAUGCAAAGCAUAACAGCGAUUGUUAUGAUUGUUACUUGCCAGUACUGGAGAGAACUUGCACUUCAGAGAUAUUGGGAGGGGCAUCUCCAUUGUAAUGUUUACCACACAAGAAGCACAAGGUUGUGCAUACUCCAGAAGGAUGUUUUAUUAUGUAGCAUAAAGGACAAGGCUCCCUUACCUUAGUAUUGUAUAUGACAAGGAAAAGGGGAAAUAAGAAGAAUGUUCUACUCUUACGAAUACCCUUGGGUUCUGUUUACCAGAUCUUUGUUUUCUGAUGUUUAAAAUGCUCCUUUCCAAAUGAGAAGUCUAGACAAUCCCAUCCCCUGUGUCAGAAGCCAUUUCUUUUCUGUCAGGCUGGGCUAAUCUGUGGUGCUGGGGGCGGAUUUCGGUUCUGUCGUUUUUCUUUUCUCGGUCGCUGGAAAGCUCCAUAACCUCAAGAGUGGUUGUAGACAGGUGGUUGUAGUCCAGGGUCUAUUAAAUGAGAAGCUGCAGUGAAUGAGGGUGCUUGUCAGGGAUAAAGGGGACUGUAACUCUCUUUGGGUUAAGACUUAGUUGCACCUCCUCUUGGAGUAAGCCCAAAGGCCCUCCAGUCACGUUCGGUACCGCUAAACUAAAGGUCUAGGUCUUGUUAUGCAGACAUAACCCUCUUCAGUUCGGCGUACGUCGCAUUCCAGCUCUGAAGCCAGGGAACAAAAGGAAACCAGCAGUAGGCUUGCCUGCGGAUGGAUUUUGCUGAGGCUGUUACAAUCAACCUCACUGCUCUGAUUGUGUUCUAUUCAUUGAUCUUUGCUGCCCUCGUUUUCCAAGACUCAUCUCAGAUUGAAAGUGUUUGUCUUAACUGGGAAAAGGAAAUACAAAGUAUCUUCUGAUGCUAAAUAUGUUAAAGGAGGCAUGAAAUAUGAAGUGAGAGGCUUGUGAAGGGUGAGUGAAGAGACAGCAUCAAACCCCACUGACUGAAACAAGGAAGGCUUUCUCCUGAAAUUCUGCCUCACGACGUGCUCCGGCACUCGCCGCACACUGAGCUAGCUGAGGUGUUAGUGCAUCUCCCCGGCUGGCAGAUGCCAUCUCGAGCACCUUGUGUGUUCCCGCUCUAGGAAACACGCAGUGUAGCCAGCUACUUCCCACCAAAAUCCUCGGCCCAAGCUGUCUUUCAAGCGCACAGCCUGGUAUUUUUAAGAGGUUGUUUCCUUAGGUGACUGUGAUGACAGCAAAGUAACAAGGUCGUGCAGCUAUCCCUGCAAGUUUUUUUGGAUCUAAAGCCAGGAGUAGAGGAAGACAGGUGACUAUUUUCCUAAAAAACAAAAAGAAAAUGCCAUAUGCUGCUUUGCUUGCAUUCUAGUCCUGUUAAUCCCCCUCUGUUCCCGAAUGCCCUGCCCCAUAGGUUUCCGCACACUGACUCCAUCCCAGGGUUAUCCGGCUCGGCGCCGCGCAGCGCAUCGCUCCACUCCUGGCGUCCCACCAUGGGCAGAGCCUGGUCCCGGCCCGGGCUGAAGGGGAAGCGGCACCGCGACGGUAGAGUGGGGCAGUGCCUGGUGCUAGCAGGAGAGAGGGAGGAACCCACCUCCCUUGGCCCGUUACAUAACCUGCCCAUUAGGCAAUUAAUUGACUUUGUUGUUGUUAUGCAUAUGAGAGGCAUAUACCCUUCCUUGUUCACCCUUUGAGUCAAAUGCUGUUACUUACUCAUCUGUGCUCUCCCCAGCUCUGCGUUUUCAUUUGUAAAACUGACUGUUAAUGACAGAAUUUCUGGUUUCAUCGUUUUCCCACAGGAGAGACUAGAAGAUAUUCCACGGGGCAGGUUUAAAGUGAAAUAAUCUGUUCAGGUCUUUCACCUCGGUUCCCUUUAAACCUGGUGGUGGCUGGAUUAAGAUAUGACAGCAGUAUCAGUAGAUUUUAAAACGCAAUCGGUUGAAUAGGCAAUCUGGCUGCUUUUUGUGAACUGCAGUUUUUGACAGGAGCGAUGAAUAUUGGUAAUUGAUACGUUUGGUUUCAGAGGGCCCGUAUCUUUCUCAAAGCGAUCGUUGUGGUGGUGUCAAUGGUAGAGGGCGGGAAAGGGCUCUUUCUGUUUAUGAAAUCCCGUCGCCAUACUAGCUGAUGAGAAGGAAAACAGGUAUUUUAACUCAUCAGUAGGUCUUCCGCCUUGAAGUAGUCUCAGCGACUGUUCGACCCCAGAAGCUAUGCAGGAUUGGAUCCCAUACAAAGAACCCUACCUUACUGUUAUUUGCGUCAGGCCUCAGCCUCACCGGUGCCGCCACUCCAGCCAGCAGCGCGCUAGACGAGCGUUGCGUUCCAAUCGCGUGGCUUGUGCAUAUUCAGAACUUGACUUUUGUGUGCCAGGGAGAUCCGUGGCUAUCACAAGGCAAGAAGCGAGUGGUCCAGGCUACAUCUAACGGGGAAAUCAUGAGUUUUGUACAGGUCUGACCCAGUUUGCUCAAGUGCCCGUGAACUUUUCAAUGAACUGUAGCUAAGGUUUGAGUUCAUAGUCUAGUCUGAGAGGGAGCCCGUGGGGAGGGGGAGUGUUUGUUGGGUUUGUGUUUUGUUGUUCUAGUUUCACUGUAACAAAUAGUUGACAUACCUCUACUUGAAGACAGUAGGAUACUGGAUUUGGAUGUGAAAAUCACACGAGAAAUAAGGUGAAACACGCACGCACACAGGAAGAGUUAAACUCAUCCUUCGCUAUUAAUCCCGUGACAGUCUGUGGAAUUCCAGGACAAAUUUGACUGGAGAUCUGUUUAAUUUCUGUUGAAAUAAUAAUUAUUUGUCCUGUCUCCAUAGUAAUACUAAUAGGGCUUCCCAGUCAAGAUUGAACACUUUCAGUCAAAUGCAGACCAACAGAUCUUUUUACAAAAAAUGCGGUGCUUUUUUAUUAUGAUUCUUGCUGUACCUCAGUGUUCGUUAUUAAAAGAAAAAAAAUACUGCAAUAUACUAAAUCUGGGAUAGGUUUUCCAGUUACCACAAGGUCCAAAAGAUUGGAUUGUUACUUUCUCUCUAGUGAGUCAUGUAGUUCCUUUGUUCUAGUAGAAAAACAGAUGCCUGUAGAUAGUAGAUACUAGGUAUAGUAAAUAUUGUACCAUUAGCCAAAUUCCCUGCAGCUUCCAAUUUAUCUAACAGAAAUGUCUGUUACGGUUUUUGUUGAAGACUAUGUGAAGUCAAUGGCAGGAAAGGUCCUCAUUAUUGGACUGAUUUUGCUUAUAUUGACAGAAAAAAAUGUCACAUAAUACUCAGGCUGUGCUUUCUAUUCAACCAUACCACUAUAGAGGAAUGUCAAUAAAAUCACUUUGUUAUGGCA